rnacentral:rRNA from 1 species
AUGCUAUAUUUGCUCACCUUUCUUCCACUACAAACUAUACCUUGCCUCCUUUUGCGCCAAGGCAGAUUACUUGCUUACCUUCGUCAGCAAUGCCUUCACAAUAUAUACGCACGCACGACCAAUGGUCAUGCCCAUACACUCCUCACGGCAAUGACGUCGACAUGGAUGGCACGUGGUAAAGGCACCCCCCUGCAGGUGCUCCUGCUUUUGUUGGCGCUUCUGAUCGUCCCCCGCGGCGGCGAUGGCGCCGCGGUGUUCUCCGGGUACACGUUCAAGGGGCAGGGCGAGGCCGAGGCCUUCGAGGAGGCGCUGCUGCGCCAGGCGUGCUUCAACGUCACCUCUUCUUCCUCCGGGGCCGGGCGCGGCAAGGGUGACUGCGUCUCGCGCAUCGACACGGCGCGCGGCGGGCCCAGCAGCGGGCCCGUGCCCGUCCUCCGCGCCGCGCUCCGCGACACGCUCGGCGAGGCCGUCAGCGCCGUCGGGGCCGUCGCCGGCCUGGCGUCCCUGUCCAACCACGCGCGCGAGGAGAUGGCCGUGCGCGACUGCAUCGAGCUGCUGGGAUACUCCGUCGACGAGCUAGGGUGGUCGCUCGACGCCAUGGCCGAGUCCCUCGACGGCGUGGAGCCGGAGAUGGAGACCCAGCACGGCGCUGCGUCCGGGAGCGUCCGCAGCGGCGCGCGUGCCGAGGACGACCUGCACGCCUGGCUCAGCGCCGCGCUGGGCAACCAGGACACGUGCACGGAGGGCUUCCGCGGCACCGAUGGCCGCCUGCUGCGUCGCGUCGAGGCAUCCGUGGCGCAGCUGACGCAGCUGGUGAGCAACCUGCUCGCCAUGCACAAGCGGCUGCGCAGCAUCAUGCCGCUGCGCCAGCACGGCAAGAACGACACGGCGGCGUCCGGCGCCGGUUCGGAGCUGCCGCCGUGGGUGAUGGACGUCGCCGGCGGCGUCGAAGGGGAGCUCGCGCGCGCCCGGGGCCGGACGGGACGGAAGAAGGCGAUGCGCGUGGACGUGGUGGUGGCGCGGGACGGGAGCGGGAGGUACCGGUCUGUCGGCGAGGCGGUGGCGCGCGCGCCCAACCACAGCCGGAGGAAGUACGUCAUCUACGUGAAGCGAGGGGUGUACUACGAGAACGUGGACGUGAAGAAGAAGAAGAGCAACAUCGUGCUCGUUGGCGAGGGCAUGGGCGAGACGGUGAUCACCGGCAGCCGGAGCUUCUCGAGCGGCUGGACCACGUUCCGGAGCGCCACCGUUGCCGUGUCCGGCGCGGGGUUCAUCGCGCGGGACCUGACGAUCCGCAACACGGCGGGGGCGGCGGCGCACCAGGCGGUGGCCCUGCGCGUGGACUCGGAUCGCUCGGCCUUCUUCCGCGUGGCCAUCGAGGGGCACCAGGACACGCUCUACGCGCACUCGCUCCGGCAGUUCUACCGCGACUGCCGCGUGUCCGGCACCGUGGACUUCGUCUUCGGCAACGGCAUCGCCGUGAUCCAGCGCACCAUCCUCGCCACGCUGCCGCUGGCGCCGGGGCAGACGGGGAGCGUCACGGCCCAGGGCCGCAAGGACCCGAACCAGAACACGGGGUUCUCCAUCCACAACUGCGUCGUGGAGGCCAAGUACCCGACCUACCUCGGCCGACCGUGGAAGCCAUUCUCGCGGGUGGUGGUCAUGGAGUCGUACUUGGGCACCGGCGUGCGCGCGCGCGGGUGGCUCGAGUGGGCAGGGGACGCCGGACUCAACACCCUCUUCUACGGGGAGUACAGAAACUUUGGGCCCGGCGCGGGGGUCGCCGGGCGGGUGAAGUGGCCGGGGUACCACGUGAUCAUGGACCCGGCAUGGGCCAGCCACUUCACCGUAAGGCGGUUCAUCGACGGCCUCACAUGGCUGCCGUCCGCCGGCGUCACCUUCACGGCCGACUUGAUCAAGAAAUGA